GAUCUUCGGACCUUGCGCUAUUGGAUGAGCCUAAGUCGGAUUAGCUAGUUGGUGAGGUAAAGGCUCACCAAGGCCACGAUCCGUAGCUGGUUUGAGAGGAUGAUCAGCCACAUCGGGACUGAGACACGGCCCGAACUCCUACGGGAGGCAGCAGUGGGGAAUAUUGGACAAUGGGGGCAACCCUGAUCCAGCCAUGCCGCGUGUGUGAAGAAGGCUUUCGGGUUGUAAAGCACUUUCAGUGAGGAGGAAAACCUUACGACUAAUACUCGUGAGGCUUGACGUUACUCACAGAAGAAGCACCGGCUAACUCCGUGCCAGCAGCCGCGGUAAU
rnacentral:rRNA from 1 species